CUACAACGGCGGGGAGAAUCAAUUUGGCCGUGUGCAGGUUACAAGUUCACUGACUGCCGCUCGGGACAUAUCUUCCCUGGGUUCACAUGUUCAGCUUCUGCAUAAAACUGAGAGGAGCUGUCUGUGAACAAGAGAUUUACUAAGAAAUUACUAAAGAAAACGCGCUGUUCCAAGUGAAUGUUUUGAUGAAAAUCCCUUUGUUUCUCAUCAUGACGGAACUAGACGACAGAAUACCUCAGCAACAUAGAUUCGACACAUCCUACAGCAGAAGGCCGAUUUGAAAAGCUGCGAGACGCAAGUGAAAUGAAAACGAAAGCAUUACUAUCUUAUUACACAAAUUUCUGUAAAGUUUUUAAUUAUCGUCAAUUGUAAGAAAUAAUAAAUGAAGAACGUAUGGCAUGAA